rnacentral:rRNA from 1 species
UAAUACAGAGGGUGCGAGCGUUAAUCGGAAUUAUUGGGCGUAAAGGGCGCGUAGGUGGCCCUAUAAGUUAAGUGUGAAAUCCCAUGGCUUAACCAUGGAAUUGCACUUGAUACUGUAGGGCUAGAGUAUGGUAGAGGGAAGUGGAAUUUCCGGAGUAGCGGUGAAAUGCGUAGAUACCGGAAGGAACACCAGUGGCGAAGGCGGCUUCCUGGACCAAUACUGACACUGAGGCGCGAUAGCGUGGGGAGCAAACAGG